GGGGGUGAGAAGGGGCGUCAUACACUGCGGGCUGGUCUCCCGACCUCGCCUGGGGAAGGGGGACGAGACUGAACAGGCUGGUCCUCCGGUGAUCCUGCCUGUGGGAGCGACGGGGGGCGAGAGCCAAAACACGGGCUAAGGGUGUAGAGGCCUGACGCCGACGUUCUUCGGACGUGGGUUCGAUUCCCACCGCCUCCACCA
rnacentral:tmRNA from 1 species